AUACGGAGGAUCCGAGCGUUAUCCGGAUUUAUUGGGUUUAAAGGGUGCGCAGGCGGCCAUUAAGUCAGCGGUUAAAUCGUGGGGCUCAACCCCGUUCUGCCGUUGAUACUGGGUGGCUUGAUUGCGGUCGAGGUUGGCGGAAUUCGUGGUGUAGCGGGGAAAUGCUUAGAUAUCACGAAGAACUCCGAUUGCGAAGGCAGCCUGCUGGACUGUAACUGACGCUGAUGCUCGAAAGUGUGGGUAUCAAACAGGAUUAGAUACCCUGGUAGUCCACACAGUAAACGAUGAAUACUCGCUGUUUGCGAUAUACAGUAAGCGGCCAAGCGAAAGCGUUAAGUAUUCCACCUGGGGAGUACGCCGGCAACGGUGAAACUCAAAUGAAUUGGCGGGG
rnacentral:rRNA from 1 species